CAUUCACUUGAAUGUUUCCAUGUGACUUGGCUGCUCGGUGUGAGGGCCAAUACACAACUCUUUGCAAUCUUCAUGAACUGUCGCGUCACUUGCACUUAGUUUCUACAAGUGUCUGUUUCUCCCCCAUCCAACUUUGUUCUGUCAGUCUGCAAUAGGGUGGAGUUUGAGUCACGUGACGACAUUGUGAGGUAAGAGCUCGAGCGCAGAAGAGAAGAGCGGAGUUGACAGAAAUUCAUUCAGCAUGUUGCUGUGUGCUUGGUCGCUGCUCGUCAUCACUGUGGCAGGCGCCAGCGGUGACCAGCUCGAGGCAGUCACGGGCGAAGUGUUGGCGUCAGAAGGCAAACAGGUGACACUGUCGUACGUUUACGCCACAGGGUCUUCUGGUACUGAUAUUUUCUUCUGGUACCAACAACUUCCUGGACAAGCGCCACACUUGCUGCUUUCACACUUGGGAACCGGCAGCCCGUUAAGCGCCAAGCCAGGAAUAUCGGCGAGCGUGGAAAGUGACAGGAGACGAGUGCACCUGCACAUCGAGGAUGUGACAAUUGAGCACUCUGCGGUGUACUACUGUGCCGUGAUGCCGCACAGUGACACAAGCGCCACAUUCUCGUUACAAGAACAUUUCCUCUUCCUCAGCUCAUCACAUCACACUCCCCUCUAGUAUCUUCCAAAAAAAAUCUCCAAAUCCAUCAAAGAAAAAACUUUAUUUACCUUGUUUCAAAUUAUUAUGCACAUUAGUGUUCCAAGACAUUUUAUAGGUUUUAAAGAACUGAAAAUAGUUGGACUCAAAUUUGGGAAUAUGGCCUGUUGUUUGAUAGCAGCUUCCCAAUUCUUGCAUCCAUUGGACUUUUGGGAGAAGUUCUGUUUUGAAUUUCUUUGCGGGAUGUCACAAAAGCCUCCCAGAGCUGCUGUUUGGUUGUGAACUGCCUCCCAACCUCCUACAAACCCCAAUUCCAAUGAAGUUGUGCAAAACAUACAUAAAAACAGAAUACAAUGAUUUACAAAUCAUUUUCAAACUAUAUUCAAUUAACUACAGCGCAAAGACAAAAUAUUUCAUGUUCAAACUGAUAUUGUUUUUUUUUUGUGCAAAUAUUCACUCGUUUUGAAUUUGAUGCCUGCAACACGUUCCAAAAAAGCAUUUUUCACCUUUCCUUUUAACAACACUCAGUAAGCGUUUGGGAACUGAGGACACAAAUUGUUGGAGCUUUGCAGCUGGAACAUUUCCCAAUUUUUGCCAACUUAAGUUGCUCAACGGGGUCUCUGUUGUCGUAUUUUGCACUUCAUAAUGUGCCACGCAUUUUCAAUGGCAGAGAGGCCUCGACUGUUGGCGGGCCAGUCUUGUACGCGCACUCUUUUACUCCAAAGCCACGAUUUUGUAACACGGGAAGAAUGUGGCUUGGUAUUGUCUUGCUGAAAUAAGCAGUGACAUCCCCCCAAAAAAG